AGUGAACGCUGGCGGUAGGCCUAACACAUGCAAGUCGAACGGCAGCACAGUAAGAGCUUGCUCUUACGGGUGGCGAGUGGCGGACGGGUGAGGAAUACAUCGGAAUCUACUUUUUCGUGGGGGUUAACGUAGGGAAACUUACGCUAAUACCGCAUACGACCUACGGGUGAAAGCAGGGGAUCUUCGGACCUUGCGCGAUUGAAUGAGCCGAUGUCGGAUUAGCUAGUUGGCGGGGUAAAGGCCCACCAAGGCGACGAUCCGUAGCUGGUCUGAGAGGAUGGUCAGCCACACUGGAACUGAGACACGGUCCAGACUCCUACGGGAGGCAGCAGUGGGGAAUAUUGGACAAUGGGCGCAAGCCUGAUCCAGCCAUACCGCGUGGGUGAAGAAGGCCUUCGGGUUGUAAAGCCCUUUUGUUGGGAAAGAAAAGCAGCAGGUUAAUACCCCGCUGUUCUGACGGUACCCAAAGAAUAAGCACCGGCUAACUUCGUG
rnacentral:rRNA from 1 species